UACGAAGGGGGCUAGCGUUGCUCGGAAUCACUGGGCGUAAAGGGUGCGUAGGCGGGGCUUUAAGUCAGGGGUGAAAUCCUGGAGCUCAACUCCAGAACUGCCUUUGAUACUGAAGAUCUUGAGUUCGGGAGAGGUGAGUGGAACUGCGAGUGUAGAGGUGAAAUUCAUAGAUAUUCGCAAGAACACCAGUGGCGAAGGCGGCUCACUGGCCCGAUACUGACGCUGAGGCACGAAAGCGUGGGGAGCAAACAGG
rnacentral:rRNA from 1 species